AUCCCUUAAGAACGGCGAGUGGACUGGGGAAGAGCUCAAAUUUUAAAUCACCUAGGUUACCUGGGCGAGUUGUAAUUUGAAGAAAGUGUUUUGAUGCUCUGGUUUUGUCUAAAUCCUUUGGGAUAAGGUAUCAUAGAGGGUGAGAAUCCCGUUCAUGAUUUAAACCCUGGGUGUCACCUAAUUCACUUUCUAAGAGUCGAGUUGUUUGGGAUUGCAGCUCAAAAUGGGUGGUAAAUUUCACCUAAGGCUAAAUAUGUGCAAGAGACCGAUAGCGAACAAGUACCGUGAGGGAAAGAUGAAAAGAACUUUGAAAAGAGAGUUAAAUAGUACGUGAAAUUGUUGAAAGGGAAACGAUUGAAGUCAGUCAUGCUUGCAGGGAAUCAGCAUGGUGGUUUAUUCUUCCUUGUGCACUUUCUUGCUUGGCAGGUUAGCAUCAAUUUCGAUUGUCAUUAAAGAAUUGGGGGAAUGUGGCUUCUUCGGGAGUGUUAUAGACCCUGGUAGAUGUGGCGAUCGGGAUUGAGGAUUGCAGCGAAUGCUUUUUGGCUAGUCACCUGGUUUCUGAUAGUCGCCUUGCUUCCGAUAGCUUGCUAAUGGUGGUGAGACUCGAUUGUCUAGAAGUUAGAGGUGAUCAUAAAUUCGCUAAGGAUGCG
rnacentral:rRNA from 1 species